UUAGUUUAUUCCAGUGAUUUCUGAACGGUUGUCACCUAAUAUUCCUGUUGACAGUGUACCUAACCUCCAAACUCUUUACAAGAGUUCGAUCUGUGGCUUUCAGUUCGACGUUCACUACAAACGUACCUGUUUCUGAAUGGAAUCUAAAACUAAAGACUUUUAUUUGUGAUUUGAUUUGAUGAGCUUAUUAUUUGGAUUCGUUUUUUGGACACUUCAAGACAAGAAAAUACAUUUUUCAGCAAGAUAAAGAUAAGGUGGAAUGGGUGGGCGGAGCCAGACGCUGGGAGCUCUAUGGCUCCUACUCAGUCUGACUCAGCAGGACUUUGCAGAGAUUGCAAAAGAAGAGUGGAAAGAUCUGAGCCAUGACAUCACUGCGUUGCUUAACCUGAGGGGACUACCAGACCGCAUGACCCAUCGCAGCCUGCUACCAGCCUUCCAGAACGUAGGCCUGUCACCCUCGCUACAGAUAGGCUUGUCUCUCUUGUUUCUUUCUUUCUUUCUUUCUUUCUUUCUUUCUUUCUUUCUUUCUUUCUUUCUUUCUUUCUUUCUUUCUUUCUUUCUUUCUU